rnacentral:rRNA from 1 species
UACGAAGGGGGCUAGCGUUGUUCGGAAUCACUGGGCGUAAAGGGCGCGUAGGCGGCUUUAUAAGUCGGGGGUGAAAGCCUGUGGCUCAACCACAGAAUUGCCUUCGAUACUGUAGAGCUUGAGACCGGAAGAGGUAAGUGGAACUGCGAGUGUAGAGGUGAAAUUCGUAGAUAUUCGCAAGAACACCAGUGGCGAAGGCGGCUUACUGGUCCGGUACUGACGCUGAGG